rnacentral:rRNA from 1 species
AGUGAACGCUGGCGGUAGGCCUAACACAUGCAAGUCGAACGGCAGCACAGUAAGAGCUUGCUCUUACGGGUGGCGAGUGGCGAACGGGUGAGGAAUACAUCGGAAUCUACUUUUUCGUGGGGGAUAACGUAGGGAAACUUACGCUAAUACCGCAUACGACCUACGGGUGAAAGCAGGGGAUCUUCGGACCUUGCGCGAUUGAAUGAGCCGAUGUCGGAUUAGCUAGUUGGCGGGGUAAAGGCCCACCAAGGCGACGAUCCGUAGCUGGUCUGAGAGGAUGAUCAGCCACACUGGAACUGAGACACGGUCCAGACUCCUACGGGAGGCAGCAGUGGGGAAUAUUGGACAAUGGGCGCAGGCCUGAUCCAGCCAUACCGCGUGGGUGAAGAAGGCCUUCGGGUUGUAAAGCCCUUUUGUUGGUAAAGAAAAGCAGCAGGUUAAUACCCCGCUGUUCUGACGGUACCCAAAGAAUAAGCACCGGCUAACUUCGUG